GUUCAGGAAAAAGAAAAAUCAUCGUCCUGAGUGAUAUAAAAACGAAUGUUUACUAAGCAGAUCGAACAGUCAGUGCUAAUUUUCCUGCCAUGAAACAUUUUAUUGUGGUUGCUCUUCUAGCCGUCGUUGCUACGGCAACCGAUGUAGACAGUAGUAGCAGUGAUAGUGCAUCUCGCACUCCGGCAUAUCCUCCAACUUGUUGCGACAGGAAAUUUGGAUGUACAGCAAGUGAGUUGGAACCAUAUUGUCCAGCAUGCGUGUCAAACUGUCCAACUGCUGGAUGUCCUUGCACAUUCCCAGGAACGAGUGAAGUUAUUAACCCAAGACCAGCACCACCUGUAGUACCACGUGCCCCAUUUUGCCCGCAGUGUCCGAAAUUCCUUUGUCCACGUAUAUUAAUAGCAUGCGUUAAUACCAGCACGAACAUAUGUACAGCAAAGCAAAUUCAAUCUUGGAUUAAUUGAAUUUUGUUUUAUUGAGUUGAAUAAAGAAGUUGUGGUCUUAGAA